CAUUAAGACCCUAGGGGUGUCUCAUGGAUAGUGACGGGCACACACGUCACAUCCUGUUCUCUCUUCUCCCCCAGGUCAGCUGCGUGCAGCUUGCUCCUUGGAGCAGGUGCUGCACCUUGGGUCUGCGAGGUCAUGCUCUCUUGGUGGUCAUUUUCCCCAAUGGUGGUGAGGAGGUGCCUCGCUGAACCCUGCCUGCUGCAGCCCAAGGCUUCUCACAGAGGAUAUCAGGAGACCUUAGCCGCCUCGAGUUUGAAGGGCCAGGCCCCCAGACCCACACACUUGCCCUGGAGUCACUUGGAAGCCCCCUGACAAGUCCUGGUAAUAAAGCUCUUUGCUGUCA